GCCUUGCUCUUCUUUGCUUUUAUCCUCUAGGAAGGAACUAAUUACUAAUCACAGACUUGCCCAUCACUUCUUGAGAACACCCGAUUCAGAGUGAAUCAUUGCUCCUUGAAUUCUCUGCAAAAUCGCCUGACAGAAGCCCAGACCCUUUGAACAAUCAGUCACCUUCCUAUUAAGACACCCACAGGUCCCCAUAUGGCUCUUCCCUUGUUGAAAUGAGUAGAACAGGAUGGGAGAGGCCCGACUUACAUGAUUAGGGCCCUGAUGGCUCUGCGGUGGUGUUUGAGGCUGUGAAGGGUCCAGCUGUCCCACCUGGGUUCCUUGGGCAAAAUUGACCCAUCCUGGGAAAGGCAUUUGAUUUGGGAACCGUCCAGCAAACCGGUUAAGAGCUGAUAAGGAGAAUUGAGAGAGCCCUGGAACUUGAGCUUGCUGCUGCUGUUGCAGAAUCCCAGAGAAAGGAGGGAUCCACGAAUUAAACAGGCCCUGGAAGGACACAGAAGAAAGAAAGGAAGUAUUUCUCUUUCAUUUUGCAAAGAAUUUUAAAUCAUUUCUGAGCAAGAAAAAAGGAAAAAGGAGACAAUUUCUAUAAUAUCAUCACUGCAUUAUAAAAAAAGGACAGCAUCUUAGCACAUUAUGAGCUGUGCAAGUAGCUUGAACAAUGUCAACUUUCCAGUGCUCAUAAAAAAAUUUGGGACAGAGAUGGAUAAAAACAUUCUAUAUGUCUCUGUCAUGGAUGCUGUGAUACCCCAACCAGAGCCCCAUUCAGGAAUGAAGGACCUGCUGCCCUAACAGCUGGGAGUGCUAACAGCCUCUUCAGCAUUUGCCUCACCUGCCUCCCUCAGCGGACUUCUCUCUGCCCAGGCCAAGAAUCACCAUCUAACUAAUUCACUAAAGGCCAGGCCACUGGCCACCCUGGCUCCACAAUUCCCCAUGGGAUUGACUAAAGCGUUUGUUGACUACAUAGCAGCUAAUUUCUUCCUUUAUCUGAUCCUGCUUGCUUUCCCUCCACUCCGUGGUUGUUAAUUCCAAGGGCCCUUAAUACAUUUCCUGCCUGUUAAUCCCCACUUCAGUCUACUUCCUGAGACAGUCCCCAAGUUUUUCGUUAUGAAAAUAUUACUUUUUGAGUGACAUGUAAUAAAAAUAUGAUCAUAGUUCAUCAAGUGUUAAUAAUUUCUCAUCAGGUUAGCCAGUUCUGAAUCACUAUAGAGAUUGGAUUACUUCUGAGAAAUAACCUCACGUGUGCUACUCACAUUUAUCAUGUUUUGAAUUGUGAAUGUUAUUAUUUCUGUGCCUUAGGCUGUGGUCUAAUAUACAGAACUAAACUUUUCAUUAAAUUUGUUACUGUCAUGUAUUUUAGUAAUUAGAUGUAUCUUGAAUAAGAACCAAUAUUAUCUGAUAUAAUGGGCAUAAAAAUGGUUAAACAGGAAAGCUCUAAGGUCCUAGAUAUAGAGCCUGUGAUGGGAAAUUAUUGAAGGUUAUUCUUUUUUAUAAUGGUUUAUAAAAAUUGCACCCCCUCCCCCUUUGCAAAGCGUUACUGACCAAGCCUCAGGAAGAAAGAGAGACAGAAACAGAGAUCUCACUAGGGCAGGAAGCACCUGGCAGUUUUGCAUUGCAUACACUGGAAGUUUAGCACUGCAUCUUGCUUGAAUCGGCCAAAUAAUGUAGUUUUAUUGCCCUGGUCAGAAGUAUUUGACGCUGUGUAUCUCACACCGCUGUCAAUUUAUACUGAGGUUGUAGGUAUUUAGAGAUAUGUGAAACUAACAUUUAUUUAGUGCCUUAUAUCAGGUUCUCAGCUAUGUUUUCUGAAUACAAUUUUUCAACUGAUCCUCCUAAGAAUCAGCUAAGUAUUUUCAUUAUCAUUUUACUUAUGAGCAAACUGAGACUCAGCAAAGUCAUUUGCCCAAGGUGGCUUACUUGUUUAGUGAUAAAACUGAUUUGAACCCAGGUUCUUUACCAAGGGAAAUGCUUAUUUCUACACCAUUCUCUAAGUGUUUAUAUAGAACAAAGAUACUGGAUAAUUUUUCCUGUGUACUUUUGAGAUAUAUUAAAUAAACAUCCCAGUUUUCUUGCUUAAUUUUUUUUUUCUGAUUAUUUGUUGAAGAUUCCCCACAUGUCUUGAAUAAUACAAUCUCUGACAUAUUUUCUGCUAGAGUCAUUAUCUCCCAAUUUCUGGAUUUUCAGAGGCUUGCCUUAGAUUUUUUUUGGAGUUUUUUAAGACAGAUACUAAGCCAGACAUUUUACUUCUCUUUUUUCAACGGUCUAAAAAAACUCAUACUGAUGAUAUGAGGAAGUAUGUCCAGGAUUAUUGUUCCAAAAUCUACAGUUUAAGUGCCCUCAGCUGAGAUUAGCAACCAUGAAGGUCACUGAAGAACAGUGCUUAUUGUUCUGGGAACAUAUCAAUGAAAGAAGCUUAAUUUUCUUUAUUCCUUUUCCAAGAAGGUUUUCCAUCUGCAGAAACAAUCACGUAAAACAGCAGAAGCCAAGAGCUAAUAAAUCAGUGCCAUAGCAACUUUCCUCAUAGGGACUGCUUCCAGAAGUUUAGAAACUCUGGAGAUUCCAAUAUUGUGUCUCCCUAAAGUAUCUGCUUAAUUGGAUAUUUUAGAUUCAGCAGUCAGAAACAUUUUAAAUUACUAGUCUAUU